AUUGAACGCUGGCGGCAGGCCUAACACAUGCAAGUCGAGCGGCAGCGGGAAAGUAGCUUGCUACUUUUGCCGGCGAGCGGCGGACGGGUGAGUAAUGCCUGGGAAAUUGCCCAGUCGAGGGGGAUAACAGUUGGAAACGACUGCUAAUACCGCAUACGCCCUACGGGGGAAAGCAGGGGACCUUCGGGCCUUGCGCGAUUGGAUAUGCCCAGGUGGGAUUAGCUAGUUGGUGAGGUAAUGGCUCACCAAGGCGACGAUCCCUAGCGGGUCUGAGAGGAUGAUGAGCCACACUGGAACUGAGACACGGUCCAGACUCCUACGGGAGGCAGCAGUGGAGAAUAUUGCACAAUGGGGGAAACCCUGAUGCAGCCAUGCCGCGUGUGUGAAGAAGGCCUUCGGGUUGUAAAGCACUUUCAGCGAGGAGGAAAGGUCAGUAGCUAAUACCUGCUGGCUGUGACGUUACUCGCAGAAGAAGCACCGGCUAACUCCGUGCCAGCCGCCGCGGUAAGAC
rnacentral:rRNA from 1 species